rnacentral:rRNA from 1 species
GAUGAACGCUGGCGGCGUGCUUAACACAUGCAAGUCGAACGGUGAACACGGAGCUUGCUCUGUGGGAUCAGUGGCGAACGGGUGAGUAACACGUGAGCAACCUGCCCCUGACUCUGGGAUAAGCGCUGGAAACGGCGUCUAAUACUGGAUACGAGUAGCGGCCGCAUGGUCAGUUACUGGAAAGAUUUUUUGGUUGGGGAUGGGCUCGCGGCCUAUCAGCUUGUUGGUGAGGUAAUGGCUCACCAAGGCGUCGACGGGUAGCCGGCCUGAGAGGGUGACCGGCCACACUGGGACCGAGACACGACCCAGGAUCCUACGGGAGGCAGCAGUGGGGAAUAUUGCACAAUGGGCGAAAGCCUGAUGCAGCAACGCCGCGUGAGGGAUGACGGCCUUCGGGUUGUAAACCUCUUUUAGCAGGGAAGAAGCGAAAGUGACGGUACCUGCAGAAAAAGCGCCGGCUAACUACGUGCCAGCAGCCGCCGUAA